GGGAAUUGUACAUACAACAGGGAGGAGCCAGCUGGCGUCCCUGCGUCUGAUUGGUCAGAGCUCGUGUCUGUCAGGUGAAGCAGCCAGUGCAUGAAGAGGAGGGGGAGGGGCGACAGACAGCGGCGGAGCGAAGGAUGAAGAGGGAGAGUAUAUAAGCCAGAGUUGGGCUGGUUGUGACCGUGGUCCUGUCAGAGUGUGCAGGUUCUGAUGCUGACCAGGCAGUGGACCCAAAACAGGAGAGAAACUUCACCCAGAGACAAAUAACACACCAUCACACACACGAUCAGCUCCAUUAUGGUGUCCAUGUUCCUCCAUCUGUCCCUCACGUGGAGAGCUUCACUCAGGGCGUCCUCACAUCCUCAGAGACGCCUUCAGUCGUCUGGAGUUCAGGUCCACAUCAGCAUCAUAGUUGUCAGGACAGAUGAGCAGUUAGGACAGAACUUCUCAUAUGGACCGAGCUGCACUCAAAGAACUGUGACACAGAAGGUCCAGUACAGCUGUACGAGCAGACGGAGCUACAAAUGCUGCACGUCUUCAGAACCUCCAGGCUGCAGACCUGAUACUUCUCUCUGGUGCAUGUUUGGACUCAGAGCCCACAGAUGAAUGAGAGGCAGGUGACAUCUGGGCCGGGAGGAUCAGUGGGUCUCAUACACACUGAGGAGAUGAUGAAGGUCCAUUCAACAUGUUCUGGACCUGCUGACCUCCGAUCUGUUGUCUUCACUCAGAGUCAACAUGAAGCAAAUAAACUGCAUCUGCUGAAUCAGAACCAGGAGCCGCCAUCCCUGCAGGACUGGACCUGAUGAUCCAGACACAUCCUUUGAUUCAGAACCAGCACCCAGUCUAGAGGAUCGAUCAUCAAUCACCGAUUGAGACCAGCGACACGUGUUGGUACCGGUCCGAUCCCCCUCCUGCUGUCUAAGCAUCUCUGGAGGACACUGAAGUAAAGGUUGGACCUGUUUGUGGUGAUGAAGGUGAUAAUCAGAACUGGACCCCAGGUGACAUCACCAGUGUGCAGAAACACUGAGCUGAUCUCAUCCAAACAGUCCAGAACCAAAGAUACUCUUUACAUUUAUAUUCCAUGUGUUUGAUGUAGAACUGAACAGCAGCACAUCCAGAACCACAUCCAGAACCAGAGCUGGAUCAUCGUGCUGGUUGAUUUAUCGAUUGUAAAAGUUGCUGAUUCAUUUUCUUCUCACCAGUUGAUUAAUGGAUGAAUAAACACAGCUGAUUACCUUUUGAAAACAUCUUGCAGCAUCAUACACUGAAUGAUGGACCUGUGUUAUCAAGCAGUCUUCCAGCACCAGCACACCCGUUUGAAACAGAACUCCUCCUCGUGAACACAGUUGACGAUGUCCUUCAUGUGUUGAUGGAUCCAACAGUUCUGAGUGUGAUGAAGUUUACAGGUGAAACAUCUGUGGACAGUGAUGGUGUGAGCAGAGGUCCAGUCAAGUGUUCUGGGAACUCUAACCCAGUACCUGCACUACAACCAGACUGUUCUGAGAAGAGUGUGGUUGAAAGGAAACCAGCCAGACUGUCACCAGGUUCUGUUAUCACCUGUUGUCGAGGACUUGGUUCUGUGGAUGAAGAACUCCUGAUGAUCAUUUCAGCACACAUUGCUUUAAAGACGCUGAUGAAACUGUUGAGGACUUACUGGACGUCUCCUCCAGACCGGACCCACCUUGCCCGUCCAGACCGGACCCACGCUGCCCGUCCAGACCGGACCCACGCUACCCGUCCAGACCGGACCCACGCUGCCUGUGAGCCCACACUCAGAACCAGUUCUUCAUAGUUACCUGAUCCACUGCAGUGUUACUGAGCCCACACUCAGAACCAGAGACAGCAGAAUGGAUCUCUAUGAUGCAGAGAGUCCAACUAACAAGAACGUGUCCCGAUGAUAAACCGUCGACUGAAAGCAUAAAUCACACAGCUGUUUACACCGACCAGAACCAACUGGAGAUGUUCUGAUGUUUCUGCACAGACUCACAGUCCAGGUGAUGUUUAAUAGACUGUGGUGUAAGUUCUGAAGCAGCCCCAUGUGGUCUGGACCAUCAGGAGAUGUUCUGGUUCCUGUACGGUGGAUGUUACACAUGUGACACAUGUUCCUCUUCCGCUGACAUCGUUCUGACAUUUAUCUGAAACACAUAUUUACUUUAUUUACAUUUAAAACACUUCAUUCAUGUAUUAAAACUAAUAAACUCUGAACCACAAGGAGAUUAAAUCAAAUGAGAUCACUUCAUCACUUCAUUACACUGAAGAUGGAAACUCUUUGGACCUGUUCUGGUUCUGGUUCUGUUCUUAUUGUUGAUGGUGUUGCUGUAAUAUCAUCAGCACACUGAGCGUCACAUUUAGCUUCAGUCCAGAAGACAGUUUACCUUUACCUAACCUUUAAUUACUCUGUUUCUGCUCUCAGAGCUGAACAUCACUUUGUCAGACAUUUUCACAUCAUCAUGUUUCAUGUCAUUCAGAAAGUUUCAUGCCAGCGUUCAACAAACUAACAGCUGUUCUUGCAAAAACAUCAUGACUGAUGUAAAGUUAAACAUCUGUGACGAGCUCCAACAUGCUGCACAACAAAUGUAAGUGUGUUUACUUCAGCUGAAACCACUGAGAAGAGAGAAACUUCACAGAAUCAGUUGAUUUCAUCCAGGGCUUUUCUCUUUACUGCACAGUGUAUGAAUUGAUAAAUAAAAACAAUUCAUAUUAUCAUUACA